CUCGCACGCAGGCAGCACGCAGCAGCAGCCAAGGUGGUGCGAAAUUGCGAGUGCUGAUGAAUUUUUCAUCUGCACUCUGCAGCCGAGUUCAUAUUGCGGUCAAAUGAUCAGGACGUUCCUCUGUUUGUUUGGACACUUUCAACAGUAAAAGAAGAUUGAUACUGCAAAAUCCUGGAAAAUCCUUGGUGCCACUGCAUGAGUUCAUUCCUUAGGAUUCAGUUGAAGCCAUAAUUGAUUUAAGUAGCAGUGUAAAUUUUUUAGAUAAGUGGCUGCAAAGUUAGCAUGCUUUUCAACUGCCUCCUUAUUUUAAAUCUUAUUUUACUUCACAACAAAGUUGUUUCUGUUGGCUUGACAUCUCAUUCAUGCGGGUAUUCACGUCAGUUUCGCUGGAAAGCGAUGAUUCCACUUGGUGCAAAAAAGUGACGCAAGCAUUGCUUUACUUUGAAAAUUAGCAAGUCCAGAGAAGGCGCUUCAAUAUUGUUUCUCAGAAGAGCCCCUCUUAAAAAGAACUUGAGAUGAAUUUAAAAUCUUUCACUUGCAGCCAUUUAGUCGCAAUUGUCACUGAAAGCGCGCAUAAUGUGAUUUCUCCCACGGAAAGUUUGUGAAAGAAAAUGAAUGUUUAAGAGGACAAUACGCCACCGUGGGAGGCGAAAUAAUGCUGUAAAAUUUGUACAAAGUGCAUGUGGGGCUGACCCGACAAGUAAAUUUAUGCAUUGCCUUGACCAGAAUUUGCGAAAAGCGUUUCUCUGUUAAUACGGAAACUGCGGAAAGAUAGAAUCUUUCUGCUUACACUUCGCUGCUAUCCCAGCACAAUCUCAAUGCUUGGCAAAUCACCUCUCUGUCGCCACUGUGAAGCGUGAAACUUAAUUCCAAAAGAACUUUCUAGUAAUACCAAAAUUUUGCGAUUGCUCUGGUUCCUAAUUAUUAACUUAAUGAUUUUAUGUUAUUUGUCGCACGUAAAGCGGUGUAAACAGAGCGCGGAUUUAGCUCUUUUAUUUCCCUUUUUAGCCUCGUGGAGCAACAAUCAGGAAGUCGCUUCGGCUCACCAGGGAAUAAAUAAUGUCUGCGCGUUGUUGCUUAUUGGCACUCGUUCGUGUGUCCACCUCGCUCCUCGAUAUUGUCAAGUCUUUAUACAUACAACUUAUAUCUGUCCUUACUCCUAUAUACAUUAGCCAGCGACGGCUGAUUAUUUAUCACACAGACAUUUCCUCACAAAAAGGUUUGCCCAUAAGGCGAUAAUUUCUUGCUAUCCUAGCUUCCUGCUCAUCAGGUACGAGGACGUUGUUUUGCAAUGGUCUCAAUCUUAGUCAUCAGCCUACAAUGGAAAUUGUUUUGUCAGUCGUUCGUAGAACCAUGUUGCACAAUAUGUAAUGUUUUAAUUGCUAUAGGAUAGUAAAGAUCCCUGAUUUGCAGAAAAUUUGUGAAAAUUCGUAUUAACUUUAACUUUUUUCUGAAAAUUUGGAUAAAGCAAAAAAAUUUCCAGGUUGCCGUUCAAAUUGUUGAGAAAAUCAGCUUAAAAGAUUUUUAUCCUCAUUGUAAAAUCACGAUUUAUUUCAAAAUUUAGGGAAUUACACAUUAAUGGAUAGAUCACGACGAGACGAAUCGAAAUCAAAUGAAAUAUCACUGAUAAACCGUUUAAUUUUUCGAGAAAUUUAGAAAAAAAAUCAGAUCUGAUUAAUGGUCCUGAUUUCAUUAUUAUUCAUUCUAGAGAAAAACUGUUGCUAAAUUUCACAAGCAACUAACUUCAUGCCUCGCUAUUGGCCUAUAAAGCUCUACUUUAAUUUUUCCCGGAACCUAAUUUGCAAAGAACUGUUUUUGCGGUCUUUUUCCAAAACACAUGAAUUUAUCAUAAAUCUAUAAGAGUGCCAAUAUGCUAUCUAAAUAAAAUAAUUUUUUCAAAUAAGACUAUUUUGGAGGCUACAAAUUUUGAUUAAAAAAAAACGGAAAAAAGGAAAUGAUAGGGUUGUUGCAUUGCAAAAUUGGUAAGAGCUCUGAUAAUUUAAAACAAUUUGUCUUGUUUCCUUUGUCUUUGACACAUUAACCGCGGACAUACCAAAACCUCGUUCGUGUGAGUCAUAUGUCCUCCUCAGUUGAUUCCGGAGUAUUUAAGCUCGAAAAGCAAAAGGAAAUGCAUACGAGUUCAAGGAGGGCGUCACGGAGCACGAAUAUUUAAUUACUGCUACGCGCGUUAAUGACUGCGUAAUUUUUGUUAUAGCUUUUCCUUCAUACUGUGAGGGAUUUUUAAUUUAAUUAACUUGAAAUAAUGAGCAAUUAAAUGCAAGUGAACCUUAAUUUAUUCGCAUCAGGGGUUAUUUUCUAAAAAUAAUAAUCCUUGACAAAUUACCGAAAAGUAUAGGCAAAAAUCUCAGUGGGGAACAAAACUUUACAAGUUAUAUUUAUUUUAUUUCAUUUCUAGAAAUUUAAAUUCCUCGGUUAGGUAAAUAGACUUAUUAAAUGUCCUAAACACCUGCUCUAUAUGUUAAGCAAUAAAAAAUUUGGAAACUGGGAAGAAAAGGUGACUGGGUUACAAAUCAGGAUAAAUUUAUAAACUAUGUUUUGAAGUCGUAUGUACAAUGAGAAAAGGAGACUUAUUCCUGUUCUCAGUUCUCACGCACAAUGACCUCGGUUUGCAUUCGUUUUCAUUCCGAAUCACGCAACAGUGGGAUUGCCUCCCGUCCGCGAUUGAAUUGAGUCCGAGUUCCCAAUUUACUAAAUUGCAAAAUGAUGCAGAUUGUUGUUAAGUAUAGGUUGCGGCUUGAUCAGUAUCAAAUUUUGCUGCUUUUCUAAUCAUUGAAUUCAGAAAAAUUAUCAAUGAUGCUAUUUUCCCAAAUGUUUGCUUUGUUACUGCAUAAUGCUGCAUGUGAAAAAUAAGAUGGCAGGUUUGGAAAAAUAAGAAAUGAAAUAUGCAUUUUAUAUAAAUUGACAUUUUUAAGCAACGAGCAUAUUAUGCAACUUGGCGCACUUGCAUGCUUCACAGGCUGCCUAUACUUCAAAAGAUCAUAGGAGGAAUGAUGCAGGAGGUGAAAAAAUAAUGAGAGUGUCUCAAUCAAAAUCAGGUUAAACGAAUGGUGCAUUUGGAUUUGUCCAAUUUUUCUAAAAUGGCUUAUAUCUAUUUCUAUUCAUUUCGACGGUAUUUUUAAUUAUCUUAAAUCAGGGAAACACAAGUACAUGCAGUUAGGGAAAUUAUGCAGUUGUGCACGCCACUUUUAUUUUCUAUAAAGUUAAUAGGGUGUGUUUCAACCUAAACCAAUUCGCCAAAUUUUUAUUUAUUGGCAACGAGGAACAUUUUAAAGUUCUUCUAUACUUUCCCUUUCAUAAAAAAAUAUUUAUUCCUAUUUCGAGCUAAACCUCCUGGAAGAGCAGUCUAUAAAUUUCUCUGCAUAUAUGCUUGACAGAAAUUUGAGUCUUCUUACGAUGUCAGUGGUGUCAUGAAUUGUGGGGCCAGCUUUUAACCAAAUUGCAAUGUCAUUUCUUAACGAUGGGUAAUUUUUUUAUUUUAUUGAAAUGCCCUUAUUUUUUUAGACUUUUGGAAGCAAAUUAAUGAUUCGAGAGAUAAUGUUUAAAAGAUUUCUCAACAGACUACUUGGACAUGAGGUUCCAUUUUCCCCCUAAGUAAAAGUAUAAAAAUUUCAAUGAACUUACUUUUUUCGGAAAUAAAAUGAAGCAAGAUAAUUUUUGUCAGUGUGUAAAAAAAUAGGAAAUGUAGCAGAUUUGAGAAUAUGCUUUUUUGCUGUACUGCUUGUAACCAUUAAAAAUCAAUUUGUCUACAAACCAAAUUUCAGCUGAAUUGAGCAUAAACUGUAUCUUUAUAUACAAUUUGAAAAUUAAUGACAUCGCCAAAAACUAAAACGUCGAAUCCUUGUAAGUUACAGAUAUUUCCACUGUGGAAUUUGAAAUCGAUUAUUUCAACAGAAAAAUCAAGAAAGGAAACAGUGAAGUUUUGUAUUUUAAAAUUUUAUUAUAAAAAUCUUACUUUCAAAAUACAUCGAAACGUUAAAAAUCCUCAUUGUUUAAAUAUCGGCGUUAAUCGGGUUCUCAGGUGAUUUAGUUCUUCUUAUUGGCGUUGUAUCUCUUGCGGUAAUCUCCCUUGGGGUCGUAUUUCUUCUCCAGAUCAGCGAAAAGGUCGGCCUUCUUUUCGAUCAAGUGCUCCAGCACCUUUUCAGUUCCCAACUUCUGCUUCGCAGUGCAUUUUUCGCAGUCGUUUGCCAGGGCAUCAGGAA